rnacentral:rRNA from 1 species
UACAGAGGGGGCAAGCGUUGUUCGGAAUUACUGGGCGUAAAGGGCGCGUAGGCGCCUUCUAAGUCGAACGUGAAAUCCCCGGGCUCAACCCGGGAACUGCGUCCGAUACUGGAAGGCUUGAAUCCGGGAGAGGGAUGCGGAAUUCCAGGUGUAGCGGUGAAAUGCGUAGAUAUCUGGAGGAACACCGGUGGCGAAGGCGGCAUCCUGGACCGGUAUUGACGCUGAGGCGCGAAAGCCAGG